GAGUGCUUCCGGUCUUGUCUUUCGAAGUUUUCAAGACCGCGACUGAAAUUGUGAGAAAUGGUUGGAAAACGAGAGCUAGCAAUUAAGAACUCUCUGACGAAGGGUUGGACCAGACGAGGCUCUUCGGUGACCAGGACGUUCUCAGAGUUGCACUGCACCGCCGCCAGCGUCCAGUUGAGGGAGCCUGUGAUGAGGCGUCGGCCGUCCACCAGGGCGAACUUGUGAUGCAUGUGCACAUAGCGGCCCACGUUGCGCACGCAGAUCCCUGUGGAGGAGGAGGAGAGUGAGGAAUGACAGAAUUUCAAUGUAUUAUGGAUGAACUGGUCUGCUCUGGAAACAAUCGGAGAGAACAAAGUUGGAAAAAGAAAGUGAAAUGGUGAUAUCGAUCCUACAUACAGAACUCAUUUGGCUGAGACUCCACACCCAAGAGUAUAAAGGUACAAAACAGCCCUGCAUAGGUCCAUGUUGGAAAAAGAAAACAAACACAAGUCCAGAGAGGAGGACGCUGACAGGAUGAAGCGAAG